UACGGAGGGUGCAAGCGUUGUCCGGAAUCACUGGGCGUAAAGGGCGCGUAGGCGGCUCAUGAAGGCUGUGGUGAAAGUCCGGGGCUCAACCUCGGAUCGGCCGUGGCGACUCGUGGGCUGGAGCACUGUAGAGGCGGGUGGAAUUCCGGGUGUAGCGGUGGAAUGCGUAGAGAUCCGGAAGAACACCAGUGGCGGAGGCGGCCCGCUGGGCAGUGGCUGACGCUGAGGAGCGAAAGCGUGGGGAGCGAACAGG
rnacentral:rRNA from 1 species